CAGCUCUGGUUUCUCUUCAGAUCGUAAAAAUCUUUCGCCUUUUACUAAAGGUUUCCGUGGAGAGGAGCGUUUAUGAGUGUAAACUAAUUUUUUUAGGCUUUGCUAUAGCAGAGCU
ensembl:snRNA U5 U5 spliceosomal RNA